CAUAAUGGUCUCUUUCCUCUUCCUUUCACCCAUUUGGCGAUUGUAAUAUCUCCUCUGUACAAGUGGCAUUUUUAUUUUGGUUUUGGUUUUUGCUUUUCUCCACCUACCUUUUCAACAUGUUGGGGUUUAUGAUCCCUCAUAUAAUGAACCCUACUUUCAAGAUUAAAUCAAUACUAAUGCAAUUCUAGAUGCCCUAUUAAGUUAAUAAUUUGCUUGAAAAUAUCAACAAUACACCGAGGGUUUAGAUAUUGUUACAUGUCAGUCCAUGCUGUAUAGCACAUCAUGCAAAUAGGACAUUGGACAGUACAAGAUUACAGGCUCUUACACCAUGUAUGUUAGUGCCUGCUGAUCCAGUACUCACUGGCUCGACCGAUAUGGAUAGGUAUAGACAGAUAAGGAUAGGCAUAGACUAUUUACAUUGCUAAGGACCCUGACACAUGUCCGCCAUGGCAUGACACAGUAUGAUAGCAUAUCAUACCAUGCCAACCUAUGACCAGCAAGGGUGUGAAGCUUGAUACUUAUCUGUGCAAAAUACGAGUCACCUAAGUAAAACUGUAAAUUUCCUUCUUGAAAUUUUAUAAAAUGCUAAUCAUAUUAGGAUUUUUUUUUCCCCUUCACUUCUCAAAUGCUUCCUGUAAUCUCUUGUAUUUGAUAUCAGAUUGAUAUCAGAGAGAUGUAAGGAUAAGAAAACUGAUCACUUUUUUUUUCAAUGUCCCAGAUUUGUGUCAAUUGCUUGGACAAAUCGGUCACCUUGGAUGCACUUAAACUGCUAUGACUUAAAUAUUUAGAUAUGGAACUUGAUACAAGCAAUGGGUAAGCAUAACCUAAUAUGAAGCCUUGUCCAAUCAACAACCACCACCCAAGAGACCAAUAGAGUUCGUUUGGCUCACAUUGUUUAUGCCUUCAGAUUUACUGACCAUCUAAGGAAACUGGAAAUUUGCAUAUAUAUGAUAGCAAUCUAUUAUAUUUACAUAGAGCCCUUGAUAUAUCAUUAUUUGCAUGUCUACCUGCACAAAAUUUUAAAUUGUGUAUAUAGGCCUUUGUGUCAAUUGUUGUCACAUAAACUUAAUCAAUGUUGGGUGACAAUUAACCAGAAGAGCAAAUGACUGGUUUAUCCUUCCAUUAAUUCUCAUAAAGUGAGGCUAGGGGAUGUGUGGUGCCUGCCUCCUUAUCUAGAAUAUCCCCUGACCAUCCUCUCUCCAUCAAGGGUGGAAAUGAACACAUAAAAUGCUACCUCUUCAAGAAAGAUACUUGCUAGAUAACAAUUGUUGAACUUCCCCUCUUGACAAAAUGAUUCUUAACUGAAACAUGGCUUUGAGCCCAAGCAGGUAAUUAUCAUAUCAAAAAGCAAAUAGGCAACAAACAAAGUGUUCAAAUGUAAUCAAGAUAGAGUCAGACUACCAAUACAAAAAUCUCAUUUCCUUGCCCUUUAAAAGACACCAGAAAGUGAAAAUAAUACACUCCACUCUCUUAGGCACACACUUAAAGGUGUCUCCAUUAUGCUAC
rnacentral:lncRNA from 1 species